rnacentral:tRNA from 1 species
GAGGGGGGCUCGCAGCCACGAGGACUGCUAAUCCCCGCCUCCUUGGUUGAACUCCAAGGCCCCCUCG